GCAGUCGAGCGAACAGAUAAGGAGCUUGCUCCUUUGACGUUAGCGGCGGACGGGUGAGUAACACGUGGGUAACCUACCUAUAAGACUGGAAUAACUCCGGGAAACCGGGGCUAAUGCCGGAUAACAUAUAGAACCGCAUGGUUCUAUAGUGAAAGAUGGUUUUGCUAUCACUUAUAGAUGGACCCGCGCCGUAUUAGCUAGUUGGUAAGGUAAUGGCUUACCAAGGCGACGAUACGUAGCCGACCUGAGAGGGUGAUCGGCCACACUGGAACUGAGACACGGUCCAGACUCCUACGGGAGGCAGCAGUAGGGAAUCUUCCGCAAUGGGCGAAAGCCUGACGGAGCAACGCCGCGUGAGUGAUGAAGGGUUUCGGCUCGUAAAACUCUGUUAUUAGGGAAGAACAUAUGUGUAAGUAACUGUGCACAUCUUGACGGUACCUAAUCAGAAAGCCACGGCUAACUACGUGCCAGCAGCCGCGGUAAUACGU
rnacentral:rRNA from 1 species